rnacentral:rRNA from 1 species
UACAGAGGGGGCAAGCGUUGUUCGGAAUUACUGGGCGUAAAGGGCGCGUAGGUGGCCUGUUAAGUCGAACGUGAAAUCCCCGGGCUCAACCCGGGAACUGCGUCCGAGACUGGCAGGCUCGAAUCCGGGAGAGGGAUGUGGAAUUCCAGGUGUAGCGGUGAAAUGCGUAGAUAUCUGGAGGAACACCGGUGGCGAAGGCGGCAUCCUGGACCGACAUUGACGCUGAGGCGCGAAAGCCAGGGGAGCAAACGGG